rnacentral:tmRNA from 1 species
GGGGCUGUAUAGCUUCGACAGGAACCUUAACUGUUUAGAUCUGCAUAUCGUUGCCGCCUUUCCAACGUUAAAAAGAGGCAAAUCACAAAUGCCAACGCAUUUGGCGGGUUUCGGCCCGCACUUGCAUUAGCCUAAUUGCUGAUGCCAUCGUCGGGUAGGGGGCCCAAAGCCUACCCUAUGACGGUGUAAUAUUCUUUGGGAUGCUCGCCGGUUGGUCACUAACGGCGCUAAGACAAAUGUGGCUUAACCAACUAUUGCUUUGUUCGUUUGAGGAUAGUUGGGGAUACUUUCAAACGAUCUAAAUAUGUAGAUGGUCUAAGUAGUUGUUCUCUGGACGGGGGUGCGAAUCCCCCCAGCUCCACCA